UACGGAGGGUGCGAGCGUUGUCCGGAAUCACUGGGCGUAAAGCGCACGUAGGCGGCUUUGUAAGUUAGAGGUGAAAGCCCGGGGCUCAACUCCGGAAUUGCCUUUAAGACUGCAUCGCUAGAAUUGUGGAGAGGUGAGUGGAAUUCCGAGUGUAGAGGUGAAAUUCGUAGAUAUUCGGAAGAACACCAGUGGCGAAGGCGACUCACUGGACACAUAUUGACGCUGAGGUGCGAAAGCGUGGGGAGCAAACAGG
rnacentral:rRNA from 1 species